rnacentral:rRNA from 1 species
GACAGAGGUGCCAAGCGUUAGGCGGAAUCACUGGGCUUAAAGCGUGUGUAGGCGGAGCGUUAAGUGCCUUGUGAAAUCCCCGGGCUUAACCUGGGAACUGCAUUUGUGACUGCAAGGCUGGAGUGCGGCAGAGGGGGAUGGAAUUCCGCGUGUAGCAGUGAAAUGCGUAGAUAUGCGGAGGAACACCGAUGGCGAAGGCAAUCCCGUGGGCCUGCACUGACGCUCAUGCACGAAAGCGUGGGGAGCAAACAGG